rnacentral:rRNA from 2 species
GCGACCCCAGGUCAGGCGGGACCACCCGCUGAGUUUAAGCAUAUCAAUA